GGCCGCCGUCAGCUCGUACCGUGAGGCGUCCACUUAAGUGUGGUAACGAGCGAGACCCGCGCCCCCAGUUGCCAGUCCUCCCCGCUGGGGAGGAGGCACUCUGGGGGGGACCGCCGGCGAUAAGCCGGAGGAAGGAGCGGGCGACGGUAGGUCAGUAUGCCCCGAAACCCCCGGGCUACACGCGCGCUACAAUGGGCGGGACAAUGGGAUCCGACCCCGAAAGGGGAAGGGAAUCCCCUAAACCCGCCCCCAGUUCGGAUCGCGGGCUGCAACUCGCCCGCGUGAAGCUGGAAUCCCUAGUACCCGCGUGUCAUCAUCGCGCGGCGAAUACGUCCCUGCUCCUUGCACACACCGCCCGUCACUCCACCCGAGCGGGGUCUGGAUGAGGCCUGAUCUCCCNUNCGGGAAGGUCGGGUUCGAGUCUGG
rnacentral:rRNA from 1 species